rnacentral:tRNA from 1 species
GUGUCCGUAGCUCAGCCGGAAAGAGCGCCUGCCUACGAAGCAGGAGGCCGGGGGUUCGAAUCCUCCCGGGCACA